GUGUUUGGGCAGGAUGAGAUGAUCGACGUCAUCGGGGUGACCAAGGGCAAAGGCUACAAAGGGGUCACCAGUCGUUGGCACACCAAGAAGCUGCCCCGCAAGACCCACCGAGGCCUGCGCAAGGUGGCCUGUAUUGGGGCAUGGCAUCCUGCUCGUGUAGCCUUCUCUGUGGCACGCGCUGGGCAGAAAGGCUACCAUCACCGCACUGAGAUCAACAAGAAGCAGGAUCUUUAGUUUUAGCCCAGCCGCCUUACAGAAAGGAACCUGGAGGGCCAGCCAGCUUUUUGCUCUGACCUUGGGAUACGCUGUGACUGGGACUGAGGCCUCAGCUGCCUUCUAGCGUGCUUUGCAGGUCAGCACACUGGCAUGUCUGGGUUAUUUGUCCCUAAUGCCCCAGCCUUACACCCUUCUUGUUCAUUCAGAUUUAUAAGAUUGGCCAGGGCUACCUUAUCAAGGACGGCAAGCUGAUCAAGAACAAUGC
rnacentral:lncRNA from 1 species